GAUGAAGAACGUAGCGAAAUGCGAUAAGUAAUGUGAAUUGCAGAAUUCCGUGAAUCAUCGAAUAUUUGAACGCACAUUGCGCCCCCUGGUAUUCCGGGGGGCAUGCCUGUCCGAGCGUCAUUGCAACCUUCAAGCGCGGCUUGUGUGUUGGGUCUCGUCCCCCGUGGACGGGCCCGAAAGGCAGUGGCGGCGUCCCGACAUGGUGCCCGAGCGUAUGGGAAUCCUCUUCCGCUCGAAUCGGCCCAUGCGGCGCUGGUCGUAACCAAAUUUUUUACCGGUUGACCUCGGAUCAGGUAGGGAUACCCGCUGAACUUAAGCAUAUCAAUAAGCGGAGGA
rnacentral:misc_RNA from 1 species